rnacentral:rRNA from 1 species
UACGUAGGUGCAAGCGUUGUCCGGAUUUACUGGGCGUAAAGAGCGCGCAGGCGGUCGAUUUAGUCGCGUGUGAAAGCCCCCGGCUCAACUGGGGAGGGUCACGCGAUACUGAUCGACUCGAAGGCAGGAGAGGGUAGUGGAAUUCCCGGUGUAGUGGUGAAAUGCGUAGAUAUCGGGGAGGAACACCAGUGGCGAAGGCGACUACCUGGCCUGUUCUUGACGCUGAGGCGCGACAGCGUGGG